GGUCAAGCGAAUAAGCGCACACGGUGGAUGCCUUGGCGGUCAGAGGCGAUGAAGGACGUGGCAGCCUGCGAAAAGUAUCGGGGAGCUGGCAACAAGCUUUGAUCCGGUAAUGUCCGAAUGGGGAAACCCACCCGCUUGCGGGUAUCCUGCAGUGAAUACAUAGCUGCUGGAAGCGAACCUGGUGAACUGAAAUAUCUAAGUAACCAGAGGAAAAGAAAUCAACCGAGAUUCCGUAAGUAGCGACGAGCGAACGCGGACUAGCCCUUAAGCUGAUUUGGUUCUAGGAAAACGCUCUGGAAAGAGUGGCCAUAGAAGGUGAUAGCCCUGUAUCUGAAAGGGCCAUUUCAGUGAAGACGAGUAGGGCGGGGCACGUGAAACCCUGUCUGAACAUGGGGGGACCAUCCUCCAAGGCUAAAUACUACUGACCGACCGAUAGUGAACCAGUACCGUGAGGGAAAGGCGAAAAGAACCCCGGAGAGGGGAGUGAAAUAGAACCUGAAACCGUGUGCGUACAAGCAGUAGGAGCUCCGCAAGGAGUGACUGCGUACCUUUUGUAUAAUGGGUCAGCGACUUACUGUUCGUGGCAAGCUUAACCGUAUAGGGGAGGCGAAGGGAAACCGAGUCUGAUAAGGGCGCAUAGUCGCGGGCAGUAGACCCGAAACCGGGUGAUCUAGUCAUGCCCAGGGUGAAGGUGCGGUAACACGCACUGGAGGCCCGAACCCACUCCCGUUGCAAAGGUAGGGGAUGAGGUGUGAUUAGGAGUGAAAAGCUAAUCGAACCCGGAGAUAGCUGGUUCUCCUCGAAAGCUAUUUAGGUAGCGCCUCAUAUGUAUCCUCUCGGGGGUAGAGCACUGUUAUGGCUAGGGGGUCAUCGCGACUUACCAAACCAUUGCAAACUCCGAAUACCGAGACGGACUGUAUGGGAGACACACGGCGGGUGCUAACGUCCGUCGUGAAAAGGGAAACAACCCAGACCCACAGCUAAGGUCCCAAAUUUUGUGCUAAGUGGAAAACCAUGUGGAAAGGCACAGACAGCCAGGAGGUUGGCUUAGAAGCAGCCACCCUUUAAAGAAAGCGUAAUAGCUCACUGGUCGAGUCGGUCUGCGGGGAAGAUUUAACGGGGCUAAGCACAGAACCGAAGCUUGGGGUGCAUAACUUUGUUAUGCGCGGUAGAGGAGCGUUCCGUAAGCCGUUGAAGGUGGAUUGAGAAGUCUGCUGGAGGUAUCGGAAGUGCGAAUGCUGACAUGAGUAACGAUAAUGCGGGUGAAAAACCCGCACGCCGAAAGCCCAAGGUUUCCUUGCGCAACGUUAAUCGGCGCAGGGUGAGUCGGCCCCUAAGGCGAGGACGAAAGUCGUAGUCGAUGGGAAGCAGGUUAAUAUUCCUGCACCUCGCGUAAGUGCGAUGGAGGGACGGAGAAGGUUAGGUGUACCAGGCGUUGGUUGUCCUGGGGAAAGGCGGUAGGUUUGGAUCUUUGGCAAAUCCGGGAUCCUUCAAGACCGAGCACCGAGACGAGCCUUUAUGGCGAAGUCACUGAUACCACGCUUCCAGGAAAAGCUCCUAAGCUUCAGCUUACGCAGACCGUACCGUAAACCGACACAGGUGGGUAGGAUGAGAAUUCUCAGGCGCUUGAGAGAACUCGGGUGAAGGAACUAGGCAACAUGGCACCGUAACUUCGGGAGAAGGUGCACCCUUUUUGGUGGCUCGUGCGAGCUAUAGCUGAAGAGGGUCGCAGUAACCAGGCCGCUGCGACUGUUUAUCAAAAACACAGCACUCUGCAAACACGAAAGUGGACGUAUAGGGUGUGACGCCUGCCCGGUGCUGGAAGGUUAAUUGAUGGGGUCAGCCGCAAGGCGAAGCUCUUGAUCGAAGCCCCAGUAAACGGCGGCCGUAACUAUAACGGUCCUAAGGUAGCGAAAUUCCUUGUCGGGUAAGUUCCGACCUGCACGAAUGGCGUAACGACAGCGGCGCUGUCUCCACCCGAGACUCAGUGAAAUUGAAAUCGCUGUGAAGAUGCAGCGUUCCCGUGGCAAGACGGAAAGACCCCGUGAACCUUUACUAUAGCUUUACACUGAACGUUGAGUUCGUCUGUGUAGGAUAGGUGGGAGGCUAUGAAACUGUGGCGCUAGCUGCAGCGGAGCCAUCCUUGAAAUACCACCCUGUCGUGCUUGACGUUCUAACCUGGGCCCAUUAUCUGGGUCGGGGACCGUGUAUGGUGGGUAGUUUGACUGGGGCGGUCUCCUCCUAAAGAGUAACGGAGGAGCUCGAAGGUACGCUCAGCGCGGUCGGACAUCGCGCACUGUGUGCAAAGGCAUAAGCGUGCUUGACUGCAAGAUCGACGGAUCAAGCAGGUAGGAAACUAGGACUUAGUGAUCCGGUGGUUCUGUAUGGAAGGGCCAUCGCUCAACGGAUAAAAGGUACUCCGGGGAUAACAGGCUGAUACCGCCCAAGAGUUCAUAUCGACGGCGGUGUUUGGCACCUCGAUGUCGGCUCAUCACAUCCUGGGGCUGUAGUCGGUCCCAAGGGUAUGGCUGUUCGCCAUUUAAAGUGGUACGCGAGCUGGGUUCAGAACGUCGUGAGACAGUUCGGUCCCUAUCUGCCAUGGGCGUUGGAGAUUUGAGAGGGGCUGCUCCUAGUACGAGAGGACCGGAGUGGACGAACCUCUGGUGUUCCGGUUGUCACGCCAGUGGCAUUGCCGGGUAGCUAUGUUCGGAAGCGAUAACCGCUGAAAGCAUCUAAGCGGGAAGCGCGCCUCAAGAUGAGAUCUCCCGGGGCACAAGCCCCCUGAAGGAACCAUGUAGACUACGUGGUUGAUAGGUCAGGUGUGUAAGUACAGCAAUGUAUUGAGCUAACUGAUACUAAUGAUCCGUGCGGCUUGACCAU
rnacentral:rRNA from 1 species